UCGAGCGCAGCGAGAGAACGUUGCGUCAGCAACGGCCCGCAGGGCGAGCCACGCAGUGGCGAGUCAUCCUCUAUCACCGACCA
rnacentral:sRNA from 2 species